UACGUAGGGCGCAAGCGUUGUCCGGAAUUAUUGGGCGUAAAGAGCUCGUAGGCGGUUGGUCGCGUCUGUCGUGAAAACCCAUGGCUUAACUGUGGGCUUGCGGUGGAUACGGGCCGACUUGAGGUAGGUAGGGGAGAACGGAAUUCCCGGUGUAGCGGUGAAAUGCGCAGAUAUCGGGAGGAACACCGGUGGCGAAGGCGGUUCUCUGGGCCUUACCUGACGCUGAGGAGCGAAAGCGUGGGGAGCGAACAGG
rnacentral:rRNA from 1 species